AAGAACUAAAUUAAUGGACCGACUGCUUUUAAUAUAAGUGGCAAAAAAUUUGAUGAUUGAUACUUAAAAUUUUAAAUUUAAAUUUUAAUUAAUUUAUAUUUUCAGCUAAAUUUAUUUUUAAAUAAGAUAAAUAAAACAUAUAACAUGCUAUCUAUCUCUCUAAAGAAAAAAAAAUAUUUCUGACUCAAAUUCACAUCAGGAUCAAUU
rnacentral:lncRNA from 1 species